CAGUGUUUCACCAUGUUGGCCAGGCUAGUCCCAGACUGACCUCAAGUGAUCCACCCGCGUCAGCCACCCAAAGUUCUGGGAUUACAGGCACGAGCCACUGUGCCCAGCUAUUUCUACACGUUUUUAAUUAGAGAUGUUUUGUGCGUUUGUUUUUUGUGUUGUUAGAAUGUAUAUGUGACCUGCGGGAAUGAUCAUGACAAGAAUCUUUUGUAUGUGUUGAUCCUUCUGUAGCCAGAAGUGCGGUGCUGUAGAGGAGGCUUCUCUGUAACAGGUUCACCCAUCCGCACUGGCCCCAUCUACCGUCAGCCAAAGAGACGAGUUUGUCAGUGACUGGAUUCAGGGGCGUGGCCUGUGACUGGAAGCGACAGGCACAGGGAAAUAGCUCAUCGGAGACUGAGUCUGUUGUGCAGCUGUGUGGCUGCUCCAGCACUUUAAUUGGACUGAAUGUUUUCAGAAACAGUGUUUGAAGUCCUGGUUGAUCGUGCUGUAGGACAGCCUUUUUGCCACCUCUUGGAUGGUUCAGUAGGUUUUGCCCACAAGACCCUUAAAAGCUGGUGCUCUGGUACGGAUCAGCCCUUAGCCAGUUUCGUAAAUAUCUCAUCAAUUCCCUACAAAAGCAAGUCUGGGACAUGGAACAAGUGGUUUAAAGGGUCAGGAGUGAGAGGGAGGACAGAGGCCCUGUCUGAGCCUCUGAGUGUCCAGAAGCCCAUGGAGCAGCUUCUCUCUGGGACUUGCCAGCCAAGCCAGGCGGCAUCUUGAGUUCAGUGCUUAUUAGGGUAUGUGCCAUGUAUAAGUGUAGUGAUGGAAUUGAGUGGCACUGUCAGAAUGAGUAGGACGCAGGCUUCAGAAUCAGGCCCAGAGUCAAGUCCUGACUCUGUCCCUUGUUGGCUAACCUCUGAACCUCACUUUUCUCAGCUGGACAAUGGGGAUAGUAAAGGUUGUGAGUGAAUGAACUACUUCAUGUAAAGGACACAGCAUGUUUCCUUAAACACAGUAUAUCCUCUCAGUGGGUGCUGUCACUACUCUUACUGUCACCAGUAACAAUUUUGGGGCCAUGAGAAGCUUUAGACAUUCUACAAAGCAAAAGAAAACUGAGAUAGUGAAACAACCCAGACCACAUACCUAAUUAGGGACAAAAGCAGAACAGAGCUGUGACCGCCCCCCGCCCAGUCCAGUUCAGAAGUCUUCCUAUGCCAGCACUCCGGGGAGCAGAGGGAGGUGUGCUCUGCAGUUAUCACCCGGGCACAGGGGAGAGGCAGGGCCACCCCAUGAGAGUCGCAUGAUGCUCUACAAGCACCGUGGUAUUUCGGUUUGUGAUUGUAUUAGUUUGUUUUCACUCUGCUGAUAAAGAUAUCUGAGAUGGGGUAAUUUAUAAAGAAAAAGAAGUUUAAUGGACUCACAGUUCCACGUAGCUGGGGAGGCCUCACAAUCACCACAGAAGGCAAAAGGCAUGUCUUCCAUGGCGGCAGACAAGGGACAGGAGAGAAUUUGGGCAGGGAAACUCUCCUUUAUAAAACCAUCAGGUCUCAUGAGACCUAUUCACUAUCACAAGAACAGCACAGGAAAGACCCACACCCAUGAUUCAGUUACCUCCCACCGGGUUCCUCCCACAACACAUGGGAAUUGUGGGAGCUACAAUUCAAGAUGAGAUUUGGGUGAGGACACAGCCAAACCAUAUCAGUGAUCUUUAUUUUUCAGUCAAAACUGUCAGUUACUGUGAUCCAUUUAAGGCAAAGUUUGGCAAAUGUGAUGCAAUUAAAAGGUGUCCUUAGCACUGCAGCGGAGUCUUCAUUUCUGUUCUUGCCGUCAAUUACCCCAGGUCCUCGAGAGUUAGAACUUCUGGGGCUGGCUGUGCUGCUCAGGAAUUCAGCAGAGCAUCCAUCCCACGGGGGUUGGAGGUGGCCUUAGCUCUCUCAACUCUACAAGGACAAAGAAGCAAAGCUAAUGAUGGUGACUGAUGGUCCAUGUCAUGGAAGAGUCUGCAGUCAGUGGCAGGAAGGACUAACUAUAUAGAACCAUGACACCACAGCACUCAAGAUUGUAACUCCUUCCCUUGUGGAAGGAAAUUGGAGAUCAAUUAUUAUCCUCAUCCAAGGUGGCACAGAAUGUGGCCCUGUACACAGGCGACCCCAACCUGGGGCUGGAGCUGUUUAAGGCAGCUGGAAACAUCUUCUUCAAUGAGGCCUGGGAAUGGGAGAAAGUCGUGUCCUUCUACCGGGUGAGCUGGCCUGUGGCUGAUGUGGGUGGGCCUCGGGGGGGGCACCUGGAGGGCUGAGGCACAGGUGUGACAGGGCAGAGGCCUCCCACCUGGAGGCAGGGCCACCCAUGCCCAUGCUUAGUUUCCCAGUGGUCUCACAGGGAAUGAUACUGACCGUGCCCCCUGCCUGGGACAAACGCUUGGGGCCUGGACAUGGCAAUGGCCCUACCCUUGCCUGGUGGUCUCACCGGGAAUGAUAUCGAUCGUGCUCCUGCCCGGGACAAACGCUCGGGGCCUGGACAUGACAAUGGCUCUACCCUUGUACCUGAUGAUCUCAAGCAACCAUGAGCGGGAAGUCCUGUCCUCAUCUUCCAGAUGAGGACACUGAGGCUCAGAGAGGCACAGGGACAUGUCAAAGGACACACAGUAUGUCAGUGCGAGGCCCAGGGCCAGGGCCCAGGUCUGCCUGCACCCCGAAGCGGGGACGGCUUCUCCCUUCCUCUGAGCUCAUGGUGUGACUCAGCCCUGGGCACAGAUAAAUGUGUUUUUAGAGCAGAAAGGAGUGCUGGCUCCCCCCAGUCAGACCCCCGGUGCCCAGGUGGGAGAGGCUUUUCCGAGGCUGCCGGGUGUAGCUGGAUGGGCCUCAGGUGACUCUUCAGCCCCCAACUUGGGUGUUUGAACCGUGUGAAGGGGUGGCCUGCCCCUCCACACCCGUGGGUGUUUCUCGUUAGGUGGAACGAGAGACUUGAGAAAAAUAAUAAGACACAGAGACAAAGUAUAGAGAAAGAAAAGCGGGGGCCCAGGGAGGGGACCGGCACUCAGCUUACAGAGGACCCACGCCGGCGCCGGUCUCUGAGUUCCCUUAGUAUUUAUAGAUAAUUAUCUUUACCAUCUUAAAGAUAAGGGAGUGGCAGGACAAUAGGAUCGUUUUUAGGGAGGAAAUCAGCAGUAAGACAUAAGAACAAGGAUCUCUGUGACAUGAAUAAGUUUAAAGGAAAAUCCUGUGCCUUGAGAUAAACCUUUUAGCGGCAUUGUUUCAUCCUAUCACGUGGGGAUAAACCUUGGACAAUACCUAGCUUUUCUAGGAACAAAGACACACCCUGCACACCCAAAAUCCAUUAAACCUUGAGUUACCACAGCACAUGUCUCUUGCAAGGACAAGGUUGGGGGUAGGGUCACAGAUUAACAGCAUCUCAAAUACAGAACAAAAUGGAGUCUCUUAUGUCUACUUCUUUCUAUGUAGACACAGUAACAGGCUGAUCUCUUUCUUUUCCCCACACCGUGUGUUAUCCCAGAGCACAGAGCUGUGUCGAGGUCCAGGGGUAGCUGGGGCGUGGGAAGCUCCAAGCACAUCUUCGAGCUCUGAGGAGGGCGCUGGGCAAGGUGGGUGCUGCGGGAAGCCUGAUCCCACCUGCCUGUGUGGUGGGACUGGGCCCUGCCCCUGGCAGUGACUACAGGCAACUGCAAGGUGGAGCUGCGGCUGUGCAACAAGCUGGUGGCACUGCUGGCCACACUGGAGGAGCCCCAGGAGGGCUUGGAGGUUGCCCACAUGGCCCUAGCACUCAGCAUCACUCUGGGUAAGUCCCCUGAGCCCCCGCCCUGCCAGGACCCACACUUUGCCAGAGCCCAGCCUCCAGGUCUGCAGGCCAGGAGCUGAAACAGCUGCUGGAUUUUCCUGGUCUCCUGUCCAGGCAGGCAGAUCUGCCCAACUGGCUUCCCCGUCCGGCUGUGGGGCACAGCCUGAGGUCUCUCACACAGUGCAGAGCUCCCUGCCUGGCUGAGCUCUGCUUCCUCUGCCUCUUCCCGCUGCUGACCACAAGGGCUGCCCAGUGUGCCCUCUGCCUUCCAGACAUGCCAGGCAUCUUGUUGGUCCCUGUAUGUGCCAGGUUGAGUGGCACAUUCCCUUUCUCUUGUGCCCUUCCCACCCUCAUCAACCACAUGGCUCUCUGGCUGAUGAAAUCCCAGUUCCCCUUCCAGUAGCCUGCCCCUUAAGGCCGGGCAUCCCCUGGUGCUGUGCCAGGGUCGUCUGUCCUCCUCCAGAGAUAGGGAGCCCUGGGCAGACUGCAUGCCCCAGCGCCUUGUGUCCCGGGGCCCAGAACGCAGUAGGUGUGCAGCUGUGUGGGAAUGCAUCCAAUGCAGGCUCCACGGCACUCGCCCUGGAAAGGGGAGGACAUCGGAGACAGCCUGGGUGGGUUUGCGCAUCUGUGGGGGGACCUGGAGCUCAGGCACGCAGUGACUCCCCAAGGUAGGGGACUCUGAUCAUGACACACCCAGGAGGAGUCGGAUGUCACGUCUGUGGGUUGCCUGGAGCCGGGGCGCCCGGGAGCACCUAGACUGCAUGGCUUUUGGGCUCCCCUGGUUAAAACCGGUGAGCAAAGGCAGGUGGCUAUGUGUAGGCACAGAGCUGGGCCAUCCAAGUCCGACUUUGUCAAAGCCUCACAGUAGACAGGGGCAGGCCUUAUUAGUUCUGCUUUGCAGAUGGGAAAGUGAGUCUGGGAACCUGGAAGGGACUGGCCAGAGCUGCCCAGGUGACCACAGGUACCUGGAGGCAAGUCAGGUGCUGCCCGGGGUUUGCAUACCUGCUCCUGAGGGGCCUGUGCCCUGCCUGCCCCAGGGAGCCAUGUCUUCACACCUGCCCCUUUGGCCUGCACCCCAGGGGACCGGCUAAACGAGCACGUGGCCUACCACCGGCUGGCCGCACUGCACCACCGGCUGGGCCACGGCGAGCUGGCGGAGCACUUCCACCUCAAGGCCCUGUCGCUCUGCAACUCACCGCUGGAGUUCGACGAGGAGACCCUCUACUACGUGAAGGUGUAACUGGUGCUCGGUGACAUCAUAUUCUACGACCUGAAGGACCCGUUUGAUGCAGCCGGGUACUACCAGCUGGCACUGGCAGCCACCAUGGACCUGGGCAACAAGAAGGCACAGCUGAAGAUCUACACGUGGCCGGCCACCAUCUACCACAACUUCCUCCUGGACCGCGAGAAGUCGCUCCUCUUCUACCAGAAGGCCAGGACCUUCGCCACAGAGCUCAAUGUCCGCAAGGUCAACCUGCCUCCUCUGCCACUCUGCGGGUGGGCCCCCUGGUCGCCCCCAGCCACCCUCGGUGAGGACAGCAUCCGAGGGAGUGGGUUUUAUGCAAGGAGGAUGGUCUCCUGCCUCUCCUGGUGUCUCCCGUGGCUUAUUUUCUGGGAAAUGGAGGCAUGAAAGCAGGGUUCAAAUAGCAAUAAAUUUUUUUUUGUUUUUUGGG